UACGUAGGGUGCAAGCGUUAAUCGGAAUUACUGGGCGUAAAGCGUGCGCAGGCGGUUUUGUAAGUCUGACGUGAAAUCCCCGGGCUCAACCUGGGAAUUGCGUUGGAGACUGCAAGGCUUGAAUCUGGCAGAGGGGGGUAGAAUUCCACGUGUAGCAGUGAAAUGCGUAGAGAUGUGGAGGAACACCGAUGGCGAAGGCAGCCCCUUGGGUCAAGAUUGACGCUCAUGCACGAAAGCGUGGGGAGCAAACAGG
rnacentral:rRNA from 1 species